rnacentral:rRNA from 1 species
CCUACGGGAGGCAGCAGUGAGGAAUAUUGGUCAAUGGACGAGAGUCUGAACCAGCAAAGUAGCGUGAAGGAUGACUGCCCUAUGGGUUGUAAACUUCUUUUAUAAAGGAAUAAAACGAGGCACGUGUGCCUUUUUGCAUGUACUUUAUGAAUAAGGAUCGGCUAACUCCGUGACAGCAGCCGCGGUAAUACGGAGGGUCCGAGCGUUAUCCGGAUUUAUUGGGUUUAAAGGGAGCGUAGAUGGGUUGUUAAGUCAGUUGUGAAAGUGUGCGGCUCAACCGUAAAAUUGCAAUUGAUACUGGCAGUCUUGAGUACAGUUGAGGUAGGCGGAAUUCGUGGUGUAGCGGGGAAAUGCUUAGAUAUCAGGAAGAACCCCGAUUGCGAAGGCAGCUUACUAAACUGUGACUGACAUUGAUGCUCGAAAGUGUGGGUAUCAAACAGGAUUAGAUACCCCUGUAGUC